GCCAGUGAGACAAACACCUCACUAGCAACAGAAUAAAUGUUCAUGGGGCCCCACUGGAAGCCCCUGUCCCAGCACCCUCUGUCAGCAUCACAUGUAGUGUUGUGGAAACAGGAGGAAAAGAGAGACCUUGGGGUGUAUACAGGAGGAUCUUUAUUGAGUGCACUCAGACCCACUGGACUCAACGUCUAAAAACUGGGCCUAGAAUAAAGACAGCACUUGACUUAAACACACUUUUAAAAAGGGGUGGGUUAGCUUGAAGCAGGCUUACAGUGGCGUGAAAGCAGGGAUACAGAGGCAGGACAAAGACAGUUAAUCAAAUUAUAACAGGCUCAUAACUCAGGAUUAGACAUGACCGUUGCUGUGCAACUCAGAUGGCCAUUAUGUAGGUUUGCCCUAGUGCUUAGCAUGGCUUAUUCCAUGGCCAUCACUAUGGCACCCAGGUGGCUCUAUCUCAGGCUGCUCAGACAGUUUAUGACCUUCACUCCACUGCUGAUAAAACAGAAUAUUUGAAGUCACUAGGUGUAGAGAGCAGGAAUCUAUAAACUCAUACCAUGAAACAAAGGAAAAUUUGUUUUUCUUCUCCCUAUGUUGAGGGAGUGCUGGGAGAGGCUCCAGAGCACAUUCCUUUGUGUCUUGGCUUCUUAGUAUUAUUAAGACUUUUCCUGGGUCUGGGCUGUGCCUGUUGCUGCCUCUGAGACAAGUCAGCCUAAUACAGGAAAAGCUUAAUUCUCUUUUUAAUUUUUUCUUUUUUCUUUCAUUUCCCCCCUCAGUAGGGGUUCCUGAGACCCUCAGCCACCUCCCCGUACUUGACGGAGGUGGAAGGGGAGGUGCUGGACAUGCAGCGGCUUUAUUAAUGCUGCUGUAUCUAUCUCUGGAUAAUGAAUGUGGCUCACAGCCACACGCCUCUAUGACCUUUUGUUUCCGUGGGUCAGGGGUCCAGCCUGGGAGGCUGGGUCUUUGGUUCAGGGUCAAAUGAGGCUGAGAUCAAGGUGUCAGCUGGGCUGUGUCCUUAUCUGCUGCUCGGGGGCCUUUUCUGGGCCCAAGUGGACUUGGGCAGAGCUUGGGUGUACAGGGAGCACAUGGGUCACUGGGAGGAAGCUAUGGCCCCUCCCCUACAGAGGAUGGAGGAGCCCAUACUGAGGGGGAGGGGCUGGCCACUUCUGCCUUGGAACCCUCCAGGUAUGUCAGCCAGGGGACACAGCAGAGCUGGGGCUUCUGCUACCCGGAAGCAGGUGUGGAGCUUGGGAUGCAGACAGGGGGCAGGAGAUGAGGAGAAAAUGAUGGUGAAAGCCAGGAAGUGGGUGGGGCCCCAAGGAGUACAGAGGGUGGUCGUGUGGGGUGGGUGGGCAGGCAUGGGCCUGGACGGAUAGGUUGGGCAUGGGAAGCUUAGAACAAACACCUUAGAGCAAACACCAUGAUCUUUAAAUUGGGUUCUGCAUGAGAGACACUCGGGCGAAGGAGACGCUUCUAAUUCCCACUAAAUGUGCAAAUGGAAUGGGGAAAGAAUAUUCUAGAAGACACUCCCAUGUCGUGGCGGGGCAGGUGCAGGGUGUGAGAUGAUCUUGGUUCAAGGAGGGGCUUCGACUCCCCUGGUCCCAGGUAGGCACACCCAGCCACCCCUUGCUCUCAUGGGUCCAGCCCACUGACCUGGUGGCAGGAAGUCAGCAAGGCUCUCACAGGAAGACCAACACACCCUCACGGCUUGAUGUCAAUAUUCAAUUAUUAACUUUAAUGUGCAAAUAAAUAGAAAAGGAAAACUACAU
rnacentral:lncRNA from 10 species